CAGCCGCCACGGGAAUACGAAGGGUGCAAGCGUUAAUCGGAAUUACUGGGCGUAAAGCGUGCGUAGGCGGUUUGUUAAGUCUGUUGUGAAAUCCCCGGGCUCAACCUGGGAAUGGCAAUGGAUACUGGCAGGCUAGAGUGUGUCAGAGGAUGGUGGAAUUCCCGGUGUAGCGGUGAAAUGCGUAGAGAUCGGGAGGAACAUCAGUGGCGAAGGCGGCCAUCUGGGACAACACUGACGCUGAGGCACGAAAGCGUGAGGAGCAAACAGGAUUAGAUACCCCAGUAGUCCCUGUCUCUUAUAC
rnacentral:rRNA from 1 species